GUCGUCAGCUCGUGUCGUGAGAUGUUGGGUUAAGUCCCGCAACGAGCGCAACCCUCGUCCUUAGUUGCUAACGGUUUAAGCCGAGAACUCUAAGGAGACUGCCUUCGUAAGGAGGAGGAAGGUGAGGACGACGUCAAGUCAUCAUGGCCCUUACGGUUAGGGCUACCCACGUGGUACAAUGGUGCAUACAAAAAGACGCAAUACCGCGAGGUGGAGCAAAUCUUCUAAA
rnacentral:rRNA from 1 species